rnacentral:rRNA from 1 species
AUUGAACGCUAGCGGGAUGCUUUACACAUGCAAGUCGAACGAGUGGCGGACGGGUGAGUAAUAUCUCGGAACGUGCCCAGUAGAGGGGGAUAACUACUGGCAAGAGUGGCUAAUACCGCAUACUAUUGGAGCGGCCGAUAUCGGAUUAGCUAGUUGGUGGGGUAAAGGCUAACCAAGGCAACGAUCCGUUGCGGGUUUGAGAGGAGGACGAGACACAGUUGGAAUGAGAAACGGCCCAGAGUCCUACGUGAGGCAUCAGUGGGAAAGUUUGGACAAGGGGGGAAACACUGAUCCAGCCAUCCCGCGUGUAGGAGAGGACCUUCGGGGUGUAAAGUACGAUUUGCAGAGAAGCGGUACCUGCAGAAUAAGCACCGGCUAACUACGGGCCAGCCGCCGCGGUAAUAC